UUUUUGCUAAAUUUCUUCAUACUCAACUUUCAGAUUCUUUAACCUCCAGCUCAGCUCCAACAAUUCAACGCUGUUCUUUCUGAAAAAGUACACAUCGUGCCUUCUCUACUUCGCUCUUGGAACAUAAUUUCUCAUGGCAGCUUUUACUAAACUGAGUAUUGAGCCAGCAUUUACUCCAGGACCCGACAUAGAACUCCAGAAAGACUCUGACUGCUGUUCUUGCCAAGAAAAAUGGGUUGGGUACAGAUGCAACUGUUACUUCAUUUCCAGUGAACAGAAAACUUGGAACGAAAGUAGGCAUCUCUGUGCUUCUCAGAAAUCCAGUCUGCUUCAGCUUCAAAACACAGAUGAACUGGCAUGUGCUAAGUCUGAUUUUCUACAUUUUCUUUGAUCUAGAAAAAUAUACUAUCUAAACAAGUUAAA
rnacentral:sRNA from 1 species